ACUUGGACCAAACCCAGGAAUAAGGUACCUCAGAACUGGAUGGGCCGUGUGCUUAACCAGGACAAGAUCUUCUCUCCAACAUUGUUGCCAACUCAUGAUUCUCCUAACCUGUGCUUGGAGAGACAUGGACCCAGAGUCAGAGGACCUCUGACUUCCACUGCUAG
rnacentral:ribozyme from 2 species